UGAGAUAUUGCUAUUAUUAUUUAUUAGACUC
rnacentral:piRNA from 1 species